UUGGAAGGAAGUAUUUAUAAUAACCCCUUUUCGAACAAAGCUUUUCUGAUGAAACACAUUUCUUAUUGGUUUUUUAAGAUUUUUGCUUUGAAUAAACUUUCAAUAAACAAAUGGAGUUGGACAUAUUAUAUAUUCAGGUUCUUAAAGCGAGCAGUACUUAAGCUAUCCGUGAUAUAACGGCAGAGAUCGCCUGGAAGAUCUUCGGUGUACGAAGUGUAUACGAAACUAGCCGAAGCAAUCACUUAAGUGGUGCUAUAUUUUCAUAAAAAUAAUCUCUUUUAACUUUUGGAACACCCUGCAACAACUCUAACCUAGUGCUUGUGCAAACCACUCCGAAUCAUAUUUUUAUUUUCAGUAAACAAAAAGAACCAAUAGAAACCCAUAAAAAUGUGUGCGGUUUUCGUCCACACCUCUAAAAAAAUUGUUAUUCAAACCGAAAUUGUUCCGUUAAUUUGGUUUUAUUUGCCGCCAUUAGUUCUGUUAAUCCUGUUGCCACCAACGCUGUCGACAUUCCUAGCUUAAUUUGGCACAAUAAAUAAAAGUGGCGAAAAGCAGCAGUCGAGUCGAGGAAAAGCUAAUGAAUGCUGUGACUCAAGCCGCGUUUAGACGAAGUACAUACGAAUGCGCGCACAGAAGCCGUGGAAAGGUGUCAGUCAUAAAUCGUGAGAUGCUCAUUUUUCUGCGCACUUUUUUUUGCUGCUGCCGUUUUAGUGCCGCGCGUUUAACAUUUAUUUUAUUUUUGUGUUGCACAGUUUUUGACACGGUAGUUUCGUCGUAUGCCAGUUAGACGAUAUAAUGAUAUUUAUUUUUACUACGAACAUAAAGGGAAACUCGGGAACUCGAGGAAACAUGUAAAAAGCACCGCCGUUUAGUGGGUCAAUGGGUGAAGAACGUUUUAAAUGCGCCAACAAUUGCAAAGUAAUUUUACGUGUUGAGAAGUGUGGCAAGUCUGGUGCAUAAUAAUGGAGGCAAGCAAGCAAGCGAGUGGGUGCUACUAAGCGGGCGCAAACAUGUGAUUAUUGAACGGUGUUGCUAAAAACGCUUGCACUCAAUACUUUAAGGAGUACUAAACAGCAAUAUUAAUAGCUUAAGUCUUCAUAAAUAGCUCAGCACUUUGCCAGUUUAGAGUUCACUGUCAACUUUAUAUGCUCUUUCCCUAAAUGCCGUUACAAACAUCAUUUUGUUGUUUUAAAAUCAUUUGCAUGACUUUGUGGCUUACCUGAGUCAAUAUCCGUCGCUGUGACCGUUACAAUCGGUGUGCCAAUCGAUACAUUUUCAUAGAUCUCAUUCGAGUAACUCAUCGGAUCGAAUAUAGGCGCAUUAUCAUUCAAAUCCAACACAUUGCAAUACACGGUCAAUGUGGUGGAGAGACUGGGAUGUCCAUUAUCUUGAGCUUGCACCACAAGUAUAUAGUGUUGCACCUAAAUGAAAAGGAGAAAUAUGAAAUAUUUUAAAUGAAAGAAAGCUCGUUUAUCGAUUAUAAUGAAAUAAAAUUUGGUAUGAUUCUCUAAAAGCUCACGAAAGCUUUGGUGAAAGCUUUGUGUCGUGAAACUUCGCUAAUACAUGUACUAUUAGUUUAACUGAUUUAUUCUUUCAUUCCAUUAUUUUUUUUAUUUUCCACUGUUGCAAAAUUUUAACUAUACAUAUUGCAUUUCCGAAAAUUCAAAAUCUCAUUUGCAACAUUUCCAAAAAACUGAUUAUCGUCACAUCACUCACCUCUUCAUAAUCCAAACGUGCUGUCAGUGUGAAUACGCCCGUCUGUGGAUUCAAACUAAAUACAUCAUUGGCCCAAUCCGAGAUGACGGUAUAUGAAACGAGCGCAUUAUCACCCAAAUCCGGAUCGGUGGCGGCGAUAAUACCAACUUGAUAGCCACGUGGGGCGUUCUCGGGUGGAAACAGCUGUCAGUUCUUAUUCAUAUCACGAAUGCACUGGAGACAGCCCGGCAGGAGGCCAACAAGCAGAAAACUGGCGCACAAACAAAAAAUACAAGCUACAAAGCAGACAUAUACAUACUGACAUACAGAGAAGAAGAAUCAUACGAAAAGCUUCAUAAUGCAAAGGGAAAUGCCAACAGGCGAACAUAUAUAUCAGGGAUGUGAUUCUGUAUAGUACUUUGCACUCCAUCGGCAACACGCAACUGCAACACAUAUUUAUCCUUCAACUCACGAUCGAGUGCAUCUUUCAAAUACAGCCGCCCGGUCUCAGGUUCCAGCAGAAACUUCUCAUCGCCACCGCCAAUCAGG